rnacentral:rRNA from 1 species
GACGAACGCUGGCGGCGUGCUUAACACAUGCCAGUCGAACGGAAAGGCCCUGCUUGCAGGGUACUCGAGUGGCGAACGGGUGAGUAACACGUGGGUGAUCUGCCCUGCACUUCGGGAUAAGCUUGGGAAACUGGGUCUAAUACCGGAUAGGAACCAUCUUUAGUGUGGUGGUUGGAAAGUUUUUUCGGUGUAGGAUGAGCUCGCGGCCUAUCAGCUUGUUGGUGGGGUAAUGGCCUACCAAGGCGGCGACGGGUAGCCGGCCUGAGAGGGUGUACGGCCACAUUGGGACUGAGAUACGGCCCAGACUCCUACGGGAGGCAGCAGUGGGGAAUAUUGCACAAUGGGCGCAAGCCUGAUGCAGCGACGCCGCGUGGGGGAUGAAGGCCUUCGGGUUGUAAACUCCUUUCGCUAGGGACGAAGCUUUGUUGUGACGGUACCUAGAUAAGAAGCACCGGCUAACUACGUG